rnacentral:sRNA from 1 species
CUAUCUCAGCCGCUUUGGUCCUGUGGAACCUCAGGCAGGACAGAUGCUGCAGGCCUCGGGUGGACGGCCGCCCCUCCUCCCUGAGUGCUCAGAACCAGUCUGCAAGGUUGGGGUCUACGGGGGUCCCUCGGGGCAGAGCCCUGUGGCACAGCAACGUCCCCAUCUCCAUCCUCACAGCCACCCUCCUCACAGGGCCUGGUGGGGCAGAGCCUGUGGCUUCAGGAGCAGCUGUCUCAGCUGCUGGUCUCCCACGGUGACACAGUCACGGCCGCCCAGUGUGCCAUGGACCUCUCGCUGCCCGAGGAGCGGCUGCCGGCUGCAGUGGCUGUGGAACUCCGCCGGCUCAGGCUCCAGGGGAGGGCGACAGAGGCUGACUUGAGGCUGGAGGUGAAGGACAUGAAGGACCAUUACUACCAGCUGCCCAUCCCCAGGGAGAACAUCCACCUCCUGGCCUCGUGGGAAGACCUGACCAGACACGAGGGUGCACUCCUGCAGUGCCACCAAGUGGUUGGUGUAGACCUGGAGUGGACACCUGUGUUUGUUGCUGGGGGCCGGCCUCGGCCAUCACUCCUGCAGGUGGCCGUGGAGGGCCACGUGUUCCUUCUGGACGUCCUGGCACUCUCACAGCCACCAACAGGGCAGGGAGCCCAGGCCUUUUCCCGGCUGGUGGCCCAGCUCCUCUCGGACCCCUCUAUCACCAAGCUGGGCUACGGGAUGGUGGGGGACCUGCAGAAACUGGGCACGUCGUGCCCCGCCCUGGCCCAUGUGGAGAAGCAGAUUCUGGGCGGCAUGGACCUGCUGCUGGUGCACAGACAGAUGCGGGUGGCGAACAUGCCAGCCCCAGGCGUGGACAGGGCCAGGGAGCUGAGGGGCCUGAGCCUCCUGGUGCAACAGGUGCUGGGCACAGCCCUGGACAAGACGCAGCAGCUGUCCAACCUGGACCGGAGGCCGCUCUGCGAGGAGCAGCUCCUCUACGCAGCUGCCGACGCCUACUGCCUGCUGGAGGUGCACCAAGCCCUGUGCAGAGAGCCCGCCCGCUUCCACCUGUCGGAGGAGCUGGCUGGGAGCCGGAGGCCCAGGCACAGAGAGAGACCAGGGGCACGGAAGCCACCCGGCCUGCAGAAAGCGUCAGCACCGGCCGCACCCAGGCAGGUCCCUGUGGCUGUGGCUGUGGCUGAGGGCGCCGCCCCUCAGGUCCCGGCCAGGGCCUUCCGCGUGGUGUGUGACAACAUGCUGCAGGGGCUGGCACGGAGCCUCCGCUGUCUGGGUGUGGAUGCACGCAUGCUGGGCAACGGUGAAGACCACCGCAGGGCGGCCGAGGUUGCCAGGCAGGAGGGGAGGAUCAUCCUGACGUCGGGGCAGCCAUUCCACAAGCUCCGGGCCCAGGUCGGGGCUGGGCGCUGCCUCUCGGUUGACUGCUCCCUGAAGGCCCAGCAGCAGGCCAAGACUGUGCUCAAGCAUUUCAACGUGCGCGUCACCCACGCAGACAUCUUCAGCCGCUGCCAGGCCUGUAACUGUGACCAGUACCUAAAGGUCUCCAGGGACAUGAUGAAGCAGCUCAUGUGGCUCAGCGGCCACCAGGAGGGGCCCAGGAGCUCAGGUGACGAGGCCACCCAGAGUCAGGAGGUGCAGGAGCCAGGCCCAGCCCCAGACGCAGCCUCUGAGGGCUGCACCUAUGACCGCCCCUGCCACUGGCUGCAGACGGCUGACCUGCGGGCGGAGACACCGGACAUGCUGGCCAACGGCACCCGGCUGCAGCUGGCAGGGGUCCCGGUGGGUGUGCUGAGGACACCCGGGCUGCGGUACUUCUACUGCUGCACACGCUGUGGAAAGGUCUUCUGGGACGGCUCCCACCUGGGUCGUGUUGCCACCCACUUCCGAGAUGUCCUGGAGAGCGCCCCCAGCCCCUGUGAGCCGAGCCCAGCCCCCAGCCCGGCCAGCAGCCCCUUCUGAGGACAGCCAGACAAUAAACAUGGAAAGUGCCCG